GAUGUCUCGUAAUCGCUGCACAGUGAUUUGUGUAGAGGAAAGUCCAUGCUCACACAUGCUGAGAUGCUUGUAGUGUUCGUGCUUGACGAAACCAUAAGUCAAGGUAACCUUCUUCGAAAAGGUUAACGGCAGGAAAAAUACCUGUGUCCUAAUGGGAUAUGGUAUGAAUACUUUGAAAGUGCCACAGUGACGAAGCUAAAUAGGAAACUAUUUAGGUGGAACGCGGUAAACCCCUCGAGUGAGCAACCCAAAUAUUGGUAGGGGCACCUUCUAUUAGGGAAAUCAACCGAAUGAAGGACAAGCAUUGUUUCGAUGCUUGUAGACAGAUGAUUACGCCUAUCCGUACGAGGCUGACCACCGCUAGAUAGUACGAUAGGACAGAACAUGGCUUACAGAC
rnacentral:RNase_P_RNA from 2 species